AGAGUUUGAUCCUGGCUCAGGAUGAACGCUAGCGGCAGGCUUAACACAUGCAAGUCGAGGGGCAUCGGGAGGGAAGCUUGCUUUCCUUGCCGGCGACCGGCGCACGGGUGAGUAACACGUAUGCAACCUGCCCUCUUCAGGGGGACAACCUUCCGAAAGGGAGGCUAAUCCCGCGUAUAUCGGUUUCGGGCAUCCGAGAUCGAGGAAAGAUUCAUCGGAAGAGGAUGGGCAUGCGGCGCAUUAGCUUGACGGCGGGGUAACGGCCCACCGUGGCGACGAUGCGUAGGGGUUCUGAGAGGAAGGUCCCCCACACUGGUACUGAGACACGGACCAGACUCCUACGGGAGGCAGCAGUGAGGAAUAUUGGUCAAUGGGAGAGAUCCUGAACCAGCCAAGCCGCGUGAGGGAAGACGGCCCUAUGGGUUGUAAACCUCUUUUGUCGGAGAACAAAACCCGGGACGUGUCCCGGACUGCGUGUAUCCGAAGAAAAGGCAUCGGCUAACUCCGUG
rnacentral:rRNA from 1 species